rnacentral:lncRNA from 1 species
GGGAACCAGGCUACCAACUGAAACGACCUGGUUUGGCUUCUGGAGUGAUGUGGGCUGCAUCCUCACUUUGGAAAUCCCUUCUAGAUGUCUCAGCAACUGACAAAUGACAUUUAAAGCCCAGGAGAGCCACACCAGCAAGUGAUUUUCUAACAGCUGUGCCAGUGAGCAAAACAGAGGAGGGGCAGAGGUUGCUGCCAGCUUGGGCUGCCCAGAGAAUUCAAGGGUAGGAUUUAGUUAAAGAAAGAAUCAUUACGCUUUUCAUUGAUUUGUGUGCACACACCAGCCAGCCUUAUUUUUUCCUUUUUUUUUUUUUUUUAUUAAGUAUGUGUUCCCACUUCCUGCACCUGGACAUUUCAUCCUGGAUAUGUCAGCCUGGCUGGCCACACUCUGUACUUCCCAUGCUCCCCAAGAUGCUGCUCACUGAAAUCUCAUCGUACGCUUGCAGAGAGCUGGGAACAGAUUAAGAACACAUCAAUGAGACCUUUGCAAGAACAAGAACUGCAGGAUCUGGCACUAGUGCUUUUAAACCCUAAUUAGGAAUGAAAGAGUGUGAAGCUCGUUCCAGACUCAUUC